GAUGAAGAACGCAGUGAAAUGCGAUACGUAAUGUGAAUUGCAGAAUUCAGUGAAUCAUCGAGUCUUUGAACGCACAUUGCGCCCCCUGGUAUUCCGGGGGGCAUGCCUGUCCGAGCGUCAUUGCUGCCCUCAAGCACGGCUUGUGUGUUGGGCCUCCGUCCUCCUCCCGGGGGACGGGCCCGAAAGGCAGCGGCGGCACCGCGUCCGGUCCUCGAGCGUAUGGGGCUUCGUCACCCGCUCUUGUAGGCCCGGCCGGCGCUUGCCGACACAUCAGUCUUUUUUCCAGGUUGACCUCGGAUCAGGUAGGGAUACCCGCUGAACUUAAGCAUAUCAAUAAGCGGAGGA
rnacentral:misc_RNA from 1 species